rnacentral:rRNA from 1 species
UGAACGCUAGCUACAGGCUUAACACAUGCAAGUCGAGGGGAAACGAUAUUGGAAGCUUGCUUCUGAUAGGCGUCGACCGGCGCACGGGUGAGUAACGCGUAUCCAACCUGCCCAUCACUUGGGGAUAACCUUGCGAAAGUAAGACUAAUACCCAAUGACGUCUCUAGAAGACAUCUGAAAGAGAUUAAAGAUUUAUCGGUGAUGGAUGGGGAUGCGUCUGAUUAGCUUGUUGGCGGGGUAACGGCCCACCAAGGCGACGAUCAGUAGGGGUUCUGAGAGGAAGGUCCCCCACAUUGGAACUGAGACACGGUCCAAACUCCUACGGGAGGCAGCAGUGAGGAAUAUUGGUCAAUGGACGAGAGUCUGAACCAGCCAAGUAGCGUGCAGGAUGACGGCCCUAUGGGUUGUAAACUGCUUUUAUAAGGGAAUAAAGUGAGUCUCGUGAGACUUUUUGCAUGUACCUUAUGAAUAAGGACCGGCUAAUUCCGUG